GACAGCAACAUGGAGCCCGAGGAGACGCUACUGCGCAUGUCCGCGUCUGCACGGCCAGAAACAGACAGAGAGCUGAACUGAGGAAAAACUGGCAGAGACAAAGGACUGAGACACAUUUAGAGAAACAGGAGACACUACAUUUAGUUUUUGUACCGGUUUAUAAUAGCCAAGGGGUUACGGGACCACCAGGGAGCGGACAGGUUUUUUUUACUCCAGCAAGCAUCAAAUCCUUGUUGAAUCCAGUUGAACGGACCCCUCCCGAUCAAUGGAAAUACCUACAAAUCUCUAGUCUUGUAUGGAAACAGCUGCCAGCAGGAGAUGGAGGAAGUGGAAACACACACCGCUUUCCUGGAGUAAUCUUUUUUUGGGCGUUUCGGGAGCAUCUUUGUUUGCAGACAGUCCCAUCAUCUUGAGUUCCUGUUGACCUUUUCCCCACGUCUACCCUUUAGAGAGCAGGUGUUAAACUCCCCCCUCCCCCCGGUCCUCUCUGCCUGGGAGGUUGCUCCGGUAAUGGUUGCCAUGAUGCUGAUGUAGCGCCGGGAAGCUGGUCGUUAACCAAAUUUCAUUAAAAGUCUGCUCAGAAUUUGGCUUUCUCCCAUGCUGAUGUAGCGUCGUGAAGCUGGUAGUUGUGGAGCUGGAGGAGAAGGAGGUGUUGGAGGUGGAG